UACGUAGGGACCGAGCGUUGUCCGGAAUCAUUGGGCGUAAAGAGCGUGUAGGCGGCCUGUUAAGUCGAACGUGAAAUCCCUCGGCUUAACCGGGGAACUGCGUCUGAUACUGGAUGGCUUGAGUUUGGGAGAGGGACGCGGAAUUCCAGGUGUAGCGGUGAAAUGCGUAGAUAUCUGGAGGAACACCGGUGGCGAAGGCGGCGUCCUGGACCAACACUGACACUGAUGAGCGAAAGCCAGAGGAGCAAACGGG
rnacentral:rRNA from 1 species